rnacentral:rRNA from 1 species
UGACGAGUGGCGAACGGUAGGAGUAAUAGCAUCGGAACGUACCCACGUCGUGGGGAGUAACGUAGCGAAAGUUACGCUAAUACCGCAUACGUCCUGAGGGAGAAAGCGGGGGGACCGUAAGGCCUCGCGCGAUUGGAGCGGCCGAUGUCGGAUUAGCUAGUUGGUAGGGUAAAGGCCUACCAAGGCGACGAUCCGUAGCGGGUCUGAGAGGAUGAUCCGCCACACUGGGACUGAGACACGGCCCAGACUCCUACGGGAGGCAGCAGUGGGGAAUUUUGGACAAUGGGCGAAAGCCUGAUCCGGCCAUGCCGCGUGAGUGAAGAAGGCCUUCGGGUUGUAAAGCUCUUUCAGCCGGAAAGAAAUCGCGCAGGAUAAUACUCUGCGUGGAUGACGGUACCGGAAGAAGAAGCACCGGCUAACUACGUG